UUAUAAUGAGUGAUUGAUUUAAGAUUGUAUGACUGUAAUUAAAAGUCCAGUGAUUGGGAUUGGCAAAUGGAUUCUGGUAGAUUACAUCACAUGACUUCUGGUAGGCUACAUCACAUGACUUCUGGUAGGCUACAUCACAUGACUUCUGGUAGAUUACAUCACAUGACUUCUGGUAGAUUACAUCACAUGACUUCUGGUAGACUACAUCACAUGACUUCUGGUAGACUACAUCACAUGACUUCUGGUGGACUACAUAAGACUCCUCACUCAAUACUUCCUGAGAAGUCACCAUUAUUUACUAUUUUACACUUGGGGUUAAUGUACAAAACAUUAACCUCCCCCCCGCAGUAUGGUUGAACUAACGUAGGCUAAUGUGAUUAGCAUGAGGUUGUAAGUAACUACAACCUUUCCCAGGACAUAGACAUAUCUGAUAUUGGCAGAAAGCUUAAAUUCUUGUUAAUCUAACUGCACUCUCCAAUUUACAGCAGCUAUUACAUUGAAAGAAUACCAUUCUAUUGUUUGAGGAGAGUGCACAAUUAUGAAAUUGAUAUUGUAUUAAUAAACCAAUUAGGCACAUUUGGGCAGUCAUGAUACAACAGGUUUAACAUAUAUGCAGUGGUUCAUUGGAUCAGUCUAAAACUUUUCACAUACACUGCUGCAAUCUAGUGUCCAAAACAUAAAUUGCGCCUGGGCUGGAAUAAUACACUGUGGCAUUUCUCUUGCAUUUCAAAGAUGGUACAAUUUAUUUUCAAAUCUUAAUAUUUUACCAGAUCUAAUGUGUGUACUCUCCUACAUCAAAUGCUUACUUACAAGACAUUAACCAACAGUGCAGUUCAAGAAGAGUUAAGAAAAUAUUCACCAAAUAAACUAAAGUAAAAAAAAAAAAAGUAAAAAUACUACCUGGGGGUGGCCCGUCAGAAAGUCCAGGACCCAAUUGCACAAGGCAGGGUCGAGACCCAGGGUCUCAAGCUUAAUGAUGAGCUUGGAGGGUACUAUGGUGUUGAAUGCUGAGCUGUAGUCAAUGAAAAGCAUUCAACCGUACAGUUGAAGUCGGAAGUUUACAUACAUUUAGGUUGGAGUCAAUAAAACUCAUUUUUCAACCACUCUACAAAUUUCUUGUUAACAAACUAUAGUUUUGGCAAGUCGGUUAGGACAUCUACUUAGUGCAUGACACAAGUCAUUUUUCCAAAAAUUGUUAACAGAUCGAUUAUUUCACUUAUAAUUCACUGUAUCACAAUUCCAGUGGGUCAGAAGUUUACAUAUACUAAGUUGACAGUGCCUUUAAACAGCUUGGAAAACUCUGGAAAAUUAUGUCAUGGCUUUAGAAGCUUCUGAUAGGCUAAUUGACAUCAUUAGAGUCAAUUGGAGGUGUACCUGUGGAUGUAUUUCAAGGCCUACCUUCAAACAUGUAGAUGACAUCACAUUACUUCUGGUGGACUACAUCAAACAUAUUUGCUUGACACGGAAAAUCAAAUGAAAUUAGACAAGACCUCAGAAAAAUAUUUGUAGACCUCCACAAGUCUGGUUCAUCCUUGGGAGCAAUUUCCAAACCCCUGACGGUACCACAUUCAUCUGUACAAACAAUAGUACGCAAGUAUAAAUACCAUGGGACCACGCAGCCAUCAUACCGCUCAGGAAGGAGACGUGUUCUGUCUCCUAGAGAUUAACGUAUUUUGGUGCGAAAAGUGCAAAUAAAUCCCAGAACAACAGCAAAGGACCUUGUGAAGAUGCUGUAGGAAACAAGUACAAAAGUAUCUAUAUCCACAGUAAAACGAGUCCUAUAUUGACAUAACCUGAAAGGCCGCUCAGCAAGGUAGAAGCCACUCCUCCAAAACAGCAUAAAAAAGCCAGACUACGGUUUACAACUGCACAUGGAGACACAAAGACCGUACUUUUUGGAGAAAUGUCCUCUGGUCUGAUGAAACAAAAAUAGAACUGUUUGGCCACAAUGACCAUUGUUAUGUUUGGAGGGAAAAGGGGGAGGCUUGCAACCUGAAGAACUCCAUCCCAACCGUGAAGCACGGGGGUGGCAGCAUCAUAUUGUGGGGGUGCUUUGCUACAGGAGGGACUGAUGCACUUCCCAAAAUAGAUGGCAUCGUGAGGCAGGAAAAUAAUGUGGAUAUAUUGAAGCAACAUCUCAAGACAUCAGUCAGGAAGUUAAAGCUUGGUGGCAAAUGGGUCUUCCAAAUGGACAAUGACCCCAAGCAUACUUCCAAAGUUGUGGCAAAUUGGCUGAAGGACAACAAAGUCAAGUUAUUGGAGUAACCAUCACAAAGCCCUGACCUCAAUCUUAUAGAAAAUGUGUGGGCAGAACUGAAAAAGCGUGUGCGAGCAAGGAGGCCUACAAACCUGACUCAGUUACACCAGCUACCCUGAAACAUUUGACCCAAGUUAAACAUUUUAAAGGCAAUGCUACCAAAUACUAAUUGAGAGUAUGUGAACUUCUGACCCACUGGGAAUGUGAUGAAAGAAAUUAAAGCUGAAAUAAUUCAUUCUCUCUACUAUUAGGACUGUGUCAGGAAUUGUGAAAAACUGAGUUUAAAUGUAUUUGAUUAAGGUGCAUGUAAACUUACGACUUCAACUGUAGCACAGUUACAGGAAUAACCAGUCGUGUUCAACCCCCAGACAGGGGUAUUUCUAAUGGUGUCUUAUGAACCAGAGUACAUAUAGAGAUCACUAGUUUUGCUGACUAUUUAUUUAUUUAUUAAACUUGGCAAGUCAGUUAAGAACAAAUUCUUAUUUUCAAUGACGGCCUACAAACAGUGGGUUAACUGCCUGUUCAGGGGUAGAACAACAGAUUUGUACCUUGUCAGCUCGGGGGUUUGAACUUGCAACCUUCUGGUUACUAGUCCAAUGUUCUAACCACUAGGCUACCCUGCCACUAUCCGGAAAUGUAUAAUGGCCACACAAUUCUCAAUAAAUGUCCUUCCCUACAAGCACGCUGAAAGCCUGUCAAUUUGUAAAAUAGCAUUGUAUCUGGUCAAACUCAAAUGUUUUCGAACUUUGCGUAAUGAACAUGAGGGGAGGCAGGUAGCUGGGUCAGGCAGAAGGUCACACACAGGUAGCUGGGUCAGGCAGAAGGUCACACACAGGUAGCUGGGUCAGGCAGAAGGUCACACACAGGUAGCUGGGUCAGGCAGAAGGUCACACACAGGAGGAGGCAGGUAGCUGGGUCAGGCAGAAGGUCACACACAGGAGGAGGCAGGUAGCUGGGUCAGGCAGAAGGUCACACACAGGAGGAGGCAGGUAGCUGGGUCAGGCAGAAGGUCACACACAGGAGGAGGCAGGUAGCUGGGUCAGGCAGAAGGUCACACACAGGAGGAGGCAGGUAGCUGGGUCAGGCAGAAGGUCACACACAGGAGGAGGCAGGUAGCUGGGUCAGUACAGGCAGAAGGUCACACACAGGAGGAGGCAGGUAGCUGGGUCAGUACAGGCAGAAGGUCACACACAGGAGGAGGCAGGUAGCUGGGUCAGUACAGGCAGAAGGUCACACACAGGAGGAGGCAGGUAGCUGGGUCAGUACAGGCAGAAGGUCACACACAGGAGGAGGCAGGUAGCUGGGUCAGUACAGGCAGAAGGUCACACACAGGAGGAGGCAGGUAGCUGGGUCAGUACAGGCAGAAGGUCACACACAGGAGGAGGCAGGUAGCUGGGUCAGUACAGGCAGAAGGUCACACACAGGAGGAGGCAGGUAGCUGGGUCAGUACAGGCAGAAGGUCACACACAGGAGGAGGCAGGUAGCUGGGUCAGUACAGGCAGAAGGUCACACACAGGAGGAGGCAGGUAGCUGGGUCAGUACAGGCAGAAGGUCACACACAGGAGGCAGGUAGCUGGGUCAGUACAGGCAGAAGGUCACACACAGGAGGAGGCAGGUAGCUGGGUCAGUACAGGCAGGUCAUACACAGGAGGAGGCAGGUAGCUGGGUCAGUACAGGCAGAAGGUCACACAGGAGGAGGCAGGUAGCUGGGUCAGUACAGGCAGAAGGUCACACACAGGAGGAGGCAGGUAGCUGGGUCAGUACAGGCAGAAGGUCACACAGGAGGAGGCAGGUAGCUGGGUCGGGCAGAAGGUCACACACAGGAGGAGGCAGGUAGCUGGGUCGGGCAGAAGGUCACACACAGGAGGAGGCAGGUAGCUGGGUCGGGCAGAAGGUCACACACAGGAGGAGGCAGGUAGCUGGGUCGGGCAGAAGGUCACACACAGGAGGAGGCAGGUAGCUGGGUCGGGCAGAAGGUCACACACAGGAGGCAGGUAGCUGGGUCAGUACAGGCAGAUAAAAGGCACAUAGUCCGGGAGAUCAGGCAAUAGGUAGACAGGCUAAAGUACAGCCAGGCAAUAGGUAGACAGGCUAAAGUACAGCCAGGCAAUAGGUAGACAGGCUAAAGUACAGCCAGGCAAUAGGUAGACAGGCUAAAGUACAGCCAGGCAAUAGGUAGACAGGCUAAAGUACAGCCAGGCAAUAGGUAGACAGGCUAAAGUACAGCCAGGCAAUAGGUAGACAGGCUAAAGUACAGGCAGGCAAUAGGUAGACAGGCUAAAGUACAGGCAGGGAAUAGGUAGACAGGCUAAAGUACAGGCAGGGAAUAGGCAAAGUUAGUGAGGCAGGCAAAAACUAUGAUACACAGGAGGAGUAAAAUCACUAGAAAACUAGCGCUCUGAAUAGAUGUGUGUCAAAAACAAACAAUACCUCACAGUGAUGGGGUGCAAAGAACUGAACUAAAUAGUGUGUGAUAAUGACAUGCAGGUGUGUGACCAGGUGAUCAGAAUUCAGGUGAUUGGGAUCUGGAGAGUGAGCUGCGUUCAGGGGAGCUAUGUGUUUGAGAAUGUGAGCUGGAAGCAGAGGUAACACUGUGGUUUUCCGAGAUAUGCCUACUAUAUUGUGAUCACUACAUCCAAAGGAUUUGGUAGAGCAUGGCGCUUGUAACGCCAGGGUAGUGGAUUCGAUUCCCGGGACCACCCAUACGUAGAAUGUAUGCACACAUGACUGCCUGUAAGUCGCUUUGGAUAAAAGCGUCUGCUAAAUGGCAUAUAUUAUUAUUAUUAUUAUUCAA